UAAUACCAAUCACAUUUCCAUUCCAUAAUUCACUUCACAAUAUUCAGAAACUUUCAAUCUUCUUAUUCAAAGAAAAUAACAAACAAAAGAAAAGAGAUAGCACCAAGCUUACUUUGGCUUACAACUCUCACAGUCUGGCCCUUGGCUUACAACUCUCACAGUCUGGCAUUUUCUUCCCCUCUCUCAUCUUCCUUAUACUACCCCGAGAUACCAAC
rnacentral:lncRNA from 1 species